rnacentral:rRNA from 1 species
UGAAGCUGGAGUUACUAGUAAUCGCAGAUCAGAAUGCUGCGGUGAAUGCGUUCCCGGGUCUUGUACACACCGCCCGUCACACCACGGAAGUUGGGGGCGCCCGAAGCCACUUAGCUAACCCUUUUGGGAAGCGAGUGUCGAAGGUGAAAUCAAUAACUGGGGUGAAGUCGUAACAAGGUAAC